rnacentral:rRNA from 1 species
GAUGAACGCUGGCGGCGUGCCUAAUACAUGCAAGUCGAGCGAACGGACGAGAAGCUUGCUUCUCUGAUGUUAGCGGCGGACGGGUGAGUAACACGUGGAUAACCUACCUAUAAGACUGGGAUAACUUCGGGAAACCGGAGCUAAUACCGGAUAAUAUUUUGAACCGCAUGGUUCAAAAGUGAAAGACGGUCUUGCUGUCACUUAUAGAUGGAUCCGCGCUGCAUUAGCUAGUUGGUAAGGUAACGGCUUACCAAGGCAACGAUGCAUAGCCGACCUGAGAGGGUGAUCGGCCACACUGGAACUGAGACACGGUCCGGACUCCUACGGGAGGCAGCAGUAGGGAAUCUUCCGCAAUGGGCGAAAGCCUGACGGAGCAACGCCGCGUGAGUGAUGAAGGUCUUCGGAUCGUAAAACUCUGUUAUUAGGGAAGAACAUAUGUGUAAGUAACUGUGCACAUCUUGACGGUACCUAAUCAGAAAGCCACGGCUAACUACGUGCCAGCAGCCGCGGUAAUACGUAGGUGGCAAGCGUUAUCCGGAAUUAUUGGGCGUAAAGCGCGCGUAGGCGGUUUUUUAAGUCUGAUGUGAAAGCCCACGGCUCAACCGUGGAGGGUCAUUGGAAACUGGAAAACUUGAGUGCAGAAGAGGAAAGUGGAAUUCCAUGUGUAGCGGUGAAAUGCGCAGAGAUAUGGAGGAACACCAGUGGCGAAGGCGACUUUCUGGUCUGUAACUGACGCUGAUGUGCGAAAGCGUGGGGAUCAAACAGGAUUAGAUACCCUGGUAGUCCACGCCGUAAACGAUGAGUGCUAAGUGUUAGGGGGUUUCCGCCCCUUAGUGCUGCAGCUAACGCAUUAAGCACUCCGCCUGGGGAGUACGACCGCAAGGUUGAAACUCAAAGGAAUUGACGGGGACCCGCACAAGCGGUGGAGCAUGUGGUUUAAUUCGAAGCAACGCGAAGAACCUUACCAAAUCUUGACAUCCUUUGACAACUCUAGAGAUAGAGCUUUCCCCUUCGGGGGACAAAGUGACAGGUGGUGCAUGGUUGUCGUCAGCUCGUGUCGUGAGAUGUUGGGUUAAGUCCCGCAACGAGCGCAACCCUUAAGCUUAGUUGCCAUCAUUAAGUUGGGCACUCUAAGUUGACUGCCGGUGACAAACCGGAGGAAGGUGGGGAUGACGUCAAAUCAUCAUGCCCCUUAUGAUUUGGGCUACACACGUGCUACAAUGGACAAUACAAAGGGCAGCGAAACCGCGAGGUCAAGCAAAUCCCAUAAAGUUGUUCUCAGUUCGGAUUGUAGUCUGCAACUCGACUACAUGAAGCUGGAAUCGCUAGUAAUCGUAGAUCAGCAUGCUACGGUGAAUACGUUCCCGGGUCU